rnacentral:rRNA from 1 species
AUUGAACGCUGGCAGAAUGCUUUACACAUGCAAGUCGAACGGCAGCACGGACUUCGGUCUGGUGGCGAGUGGCGAACGGGUGAGUAACAUAUCGGAACGUAUCCAAUAAUGGGGGAUAACGAGUCGAAAGAUUCGCUAAUACCGCAUACGCCCUACGGGGGAAAGCUGAGGACCUUCGGGCCUGGCGUUAAUGGAGCGGCCGAUAUCUGAUUAGCUAGUUGGUGAGGUAAAGGCUCACCAAGGCGACGAUCAGUAGCUGGUCUGAGAGGACGACAAGCCACACUGGAACUGAGACACGGUCCAGACUCCUACGGGAGGCAGCAGUGGUGAAUUUUGGACAAUGUGCGCAAGCCUGAUCCAGCCAUUCCGCGUGAGUGAAGAAGGCCUUCGGGUUGUAAAGCUCUUUCGCAAGGGAAGAAAACUUACUUUCUAAUAAAGAGUGAGGUUGACGGUACCUUGAUAAGAAGCACCGGCUAACUACGUGCCAGCAGCCGCCGUAA